UACGUAGGGUGCAAGCGUUAAUCGGAAUUAUUGGGCGUAAAGCGUGCGCAGGCGGUUGUGCAAGACAGAUGUGAAAUCCCCGGGCUCAACCUGGGAAUUGCAUUUGUGACUGCCCGGCUAGAGUGUGUCAGAGGGGGUAGAAUUCCACGUGUAGCAGUGAAAUGCGUAGAUAUGUGGAGGAAUACCGAUGGCGAAGGCAGCCCCCUGGGAUAACACUGACGCUCAUGCACGAAAGCGUGGGGAGCAAACAGG
rnacentral:rRNA from 1 species